UGUGGAGUGAUAUUUCUAAAUUGGCGAGAGAGACAAUUCCCGGGCUUGCUUAGGUCAUUGAGGCGAUAGCGAUAGCGAUAGCGAGAGCGGCAGCGGCAGCGGCAGCGGCUAGCCUUGUCUUCGUGUUCUCCAAUUGUUGGGUUAUCACUUGAAGAGCAAUGGAGAUGGACGAGAUGGGUCUUGUGGAAUUGUUUGGUUACGACAAGCUGGAAAGAGAAUUACUCCUCAGCCAAAAUAAUUUGUCUUCAACUUCGCCGGAAUAUUGCGCGCUAUAUGAUUUCCGUGAUGAGAUGACACCAGAGGAAGAGUACUCCUACAGCGAACAAGUUUUGAAGAGUGACGGCUUUGAUGUUUCUGACAUCCCUGGCGUCAAUUGUCUCAACCAAAUUCUACCAUGCAACAUAGAAUACAACUAUGAUAAGUAUAAACGGUAUUCGCAGGUCGCAAUAGACGAAUACAAUCGUCGGUUCAAGGAUGCCAAUGGAGAGUUGGAGUUUGUUAAGGUCUUGAAGGCAAUGGGUCAGGCUUCCAGGGGAAUCAGGUAUUAUAUAACCUUCAUGGCCAAGGAUCUUGGCGAUGGUGGCGAGAUUAAGACGUAUCAAGCUGUGGUAUUAGAUGGUAUAGACUCUGAGACAGCGAAAUCCUUUAGGCUAAAGCCCCCCGAGGAUGAGCGAGGAACGGGAUGUUACAAAUAAAGACAAGAAAAUCAUGUAGGUCCAUACCGUUGAACUCAACAGCAAUGGCCCAAGUGCAUAGAGUUCUAUAAAAUAAAGCUUUAAGCUCCCCCAACUUUGUAAUUUAAGAGAAGCUAUACAGAUUUUCGGUGUUGAGUUUGAUUUUGAUAAAAUCUGGCAGUCAUGGGAGACAGUGGUUUUGGCAAAAUCACCUUUUCAGUGGUUAGUUAGUAUUUUUAUAUUAUAUCACGGAAGCACGAUUUGUUUACUCAAAUGCUAGUAAUGAUUUCCAGUAAUUGACUAUUGCUUCUUAUGCUGUUGGUGCAAUGAUAUGCAUUACUGAAAGCCUUUGUUGAUAAUUUAUGUUGGGUUAAAUUUUAAAGAUACACUAGAUUACUGUCCUACCAUCCUUUGUUGCUCAAACCAGUGCUGGGUGUCUCUUUAUUCUGAACUCUUUCUUUCCCAUCUUCUGGAGAUAGGUAUCCAUUAUUUUGUACCCUUCGUGUCUAUCUUUUUCUAUCUGUAUUUCAGUUUUUGCCUAGUUGUACUCACUCAGUUAGAUUAUAAAUGGGGAGAGAAGAUCGGAUGUGUUGUGCCCCCUCCAAGAAAGUAACAUUUAAAGUGAAAUAAAUUUAUCAUAGCUUGACUUCUCGUGCUAAUUCUCAUAUCCCACAGAAGAUUACUCGGAGUCCUGCGUUGGGGGAAAUUCUUGCUUACGAUAAUUUAAGGAGGUGAUUGACGAAGGUGAUAAAUUGGUGCUUUAUGUGUGGGAGGAAUGGGAAACAAUGACUCAUUUGAUACCACUUGUCGAGAGGUUGUGCAGCCCCAGAAUUACUCCGGACUUUGUUUCUGGAUACUCGGUGCCAAUAAAAUAAACGUAAAUAUUAUUCUAUAUGUAUGGUUUUAUGCAGACCACUGACCUUUCUUGGUUUCCUUCAGAUGAAACAUGUUGUAUUUGAAGAUCUUUUGGAGGUGAAAUGCGUAUGGAGUUUAACAAUGCUGUUGGAAUUCGGAAACAUGAAUUAUACAAGUUAAAUGGAAAGAUGGUGCUUCUAGUGUUUAUUUAGACAUUCUAAAGUUGGUCAGAUGUUGCUUAUUUAAUUUUGUAUUCAAAACUCCUUUGCUUCAAGCCUCUAAUGGUACCUUGGUAAGUGAAAUUAUGCAGUGUGCUUUUGUCAGUGAGAUUAUUUUCCUCGUGUGGGAGAGGGAACUUCAGUAAAAAAAAGAGAACAUAAUUGGU